rnacentral:lncRNA from 1 species
AGUUGACAUGUCAUCACUUCAUUUUUUGCGCCUGCGCAUAAAUCUGAGAGAUAAACCACAUUUGUUCCGGACCUGGGAUGCCUUCCGGACCUGGGAUGCCUGCCUUCUGAUGGAGAUAAUCAAAGAAGGAUAACUUCCAAUACCCGCAGUGGCUGUAUUGGGGCUGUAUUGGGGAUGUGUCACGCCUGCUCCUGCUCUUCCCCCCUGGCGCUCGAGGACAUCCGGGCUCCCCAGCGUUGCGCACUCCUGCCACCAUCAUUACACACACCUGCUUCCCUCGUCAUGCGCAUCAGCGAUCACCUGUUGUAUUUUCUUCCCUAUAUCUGUCUGUCCCCCAGCUCUGUUCCCGGCUUCAACAUUAACAUUUGUGUGUGGUUUUGUUACCCGUGUGCUGAUGCUGUUCCUGUCUUGUUCCUUGUCUGUUCCUAAUUAAAUGUUUGACUCCCCG